UACGUAGGUGGCAAGCGUUGUCCGGAUUUACUGGGCGUAAAGAGCGCGCAGGCGGUCGUUCAAGUCGCGUGUGAAAGCCCCCGGCUCAACUGGGGAGGGUCACGCGAUACUGAUCGACUCGAAGGCAGGAGAGGGUAGUGGAAUUCCCGGUGUAGUGGUGAAAUGCGUAGAUAUCGGGAGGAACACCAGUGGCGAAGGCGGCUUGCCAGAACGCGCUCGACGGUGAGGGAUGAAAGCUGGGGGAGCAAACCGGG
rnacentral:rRNA from 1 species